GCUCUUCUAGUAUAAUUAUUACAACUGACUUCCAAUCUUUUAAAUCUGGUUAUUAACCCAGAGAAGAGCA
rnacentral:tRNA from 1 species